GGCCUUGUGGCUUAAUGGAUAAGGCGUCGGACUUCGGAUCCGAAGAUUGCAGGUUCGAGUCCUCCCAGGGUCG
rnacentral:tRNA from 1 species